UUCACAACGACAUUGCUCACAUUGCUUCUAGUAUUUAUUGACCAACUCUCCUAGCGUUGGUCUUUUUUU
rfam:Proteus mirabilis strain HI4320, complete genome